AAACUACGGUCUCAGUUCAGAUUGCAGGCUGCAACUCGCCUGCAUGAAGUUGGAAUUGCUAGUAAUCGCGAAUCAGAAUGUCGCGGUGAAUACGUUCCCGGGCCUUGUACACACCGCCCGUCACACCAUGAGAGUCGAUAACACCCGAAGUCAGUAGUCCAACCUCGUGAGGACGCUGCCGAAGGUAGGAUUGGCGACUGGGGUGAAGUCGUAACAAGGUAAC
rnacentral:rRNA from 1 species